GAUGAACGCUAGCGGCAGGCUUAAUACAUGCAAGUCGUGGGGCAGCAUGAGUAGCAAUACUUGAUGGCGACCGGCAAACGGGUGCGGAACACGUACACAACCUUCCGAUAAGUGGGGAAUAGCCCAGAGAAAUUUGGAUUAAUACCCCGUAACAUAUAGAGUAGGCAUCUUCUUUAUAUUAUAGCUUCGGCGCUUAUUGAUGGGUGUGCGUCUGAUUAGGUAGUUGGCGGGGUAACGGCCCACCAAGCCUACGAUCAGUAGCUGAUGUGAGAGCAUGAUCAGCCACACGGGCACUGAGACACGGGCCCGAAUCCUACGGGAGGAAGCAGUAAGGAAUAUUGGACAAUGGGCGAAAGCCUGUUCCAGCCAUGCCGCGUGAAGGAUUAAGGUCCUCUGGAUUGUAAACUUCUUUUAUUUGGGACGAAAAAAGGGAAUUCUUUCCCACUUGACGGUACCAAGUGAAUAAGCACCGGCUAACUCCGUGCCAGCCGCCGCCGUAA
rnacentral:rRNA from 1 species